rnacentral:rRNA from 1 species
GGUUGAUCCUGCCAGUAGUCAUAUGCUUGUCUCAAAGAUUAAGCCAUGCAUGUCUAAGUAUAAACAAUUCUAUACUGUGAAACUGCGAAUGGCUCAUUAAAUCAGUUAUAGUUUAUUUGAUAAUACCUACUACUUGGAUAACCGUGGUAAUUCUAGAGCUAAUACAUGCACAAAAGUCCGACUUCUGGAAGGACUGUAUUUAUUAGAUACAAAACCAAUGCGGGGCAACCCGGUCUUUUGGUGAUUCAUAAUAACUUCGCGAAUCGCAUGGCCUUGUGCUGGCGAUGAUUCAU